rnacentral:rRNA from 1 species
UACGUAGGGUGCGAGCGUUGUCCGGAAUUAUUGGGCGUAAAGAGCUCGUAGGCGGUCUGUCGCGUCGAAUGUGAAAACCCGGGGCUCAACUCCGGGCUUGCAUUCGAUACGGGCAGGCUAGGGUUCGGUAGGGGAGUCUGGAAUUCCUGGUGUAGCGGUGAAAUGCGCAGAUAUCAGGAGGAACACCGGUGGCGAAGGCGGGACUCUGGGCCGAUACUGACGCUGAGGAGCGAAAGCGUGGGGAGCGAACAGG